GGAGGGGCUGCGGCGUGAACCCCGCCCCUCCUGAGCCAGCGUUGAGCUGAGGGGAGAUCCUGGGCGGGAAGGACAGGCGAGGGGAGGGCUAAACACGAGGUGAAUUAGAAUGUCAAUAGUUGCAGUCCAGCUUGGCCAGUGUGGUAACCAAAUUGGUCGUGAGGUGUUUAACACCAUCUGUGGUGAUGUCCGUGGCACACAUGGGUUGUGUUCCAAGAAGGAGAAUGAAGCCUACCACGAUGCCUGUACAGAACGGUUUUUCAGCGAGGCAGAGUCUGGAGUACCUAUUGCCCGGGCUGUGCUUGUUGACAUGGAACCUAAAGUAAUCAGCCAAACUUUAUCAAUAGCUGCCCGGUCCGGCCACUGGAAAUACGACGAUCAGUCACACUUCUGUCAGAAGCAAGGCUCUGGGAACAACUGGGCAAAUGGUUAUUCUGUUCACGGGCCUAGAAACAAAGAAGUAAUCAUGAAUCUAGUGCAAAAAGAAGUAGAGAAAUGUGACCGACUCAGUGGAUUUUUCACAAUAAUGAGCAUGGCUGGUGGUACAGGUUCUGGCCUAGGAGCAUUUGUGACUCAGUGUUUAAGAGAUGCUUUUCCAACCUCGUUUAUACUAAACCACGUUAUCUGGCCCUAUGGCACUGGUGAGGUCAUUGUUCAAAACUAUAACUCUGUUUUGACUCUGUCACAUCUGUAUCAGUCAUCAGAUGCUCUUCUUGUUCAUGAAAAUGAUGUCAUCCACAAGAUCUGUGCUCAACUGAUGCAUAUUAAACAGAUUUCCUUCAGGGAUGUAAAUCAAGUCAUUGCACAUCAACUGGGGAGUGUUUUCCAGCCUGCUCACACAGCAGAAGCUGGCUUACACUACAGCAGAAACCCUUUAGGAGACUUAAUGGAAACUUUAGUUCCACAUCCUGAAUUCAAAAUGUUGGGUCUCCGUAACAUACCUCAGAUGCCUGAAAACUCCCUUGCAUUUAGUUCAUUCAGUUGGCCUGGACUCCUCAAACAUCUGAGGCAAAUGCUCAUUGCUAAUGCUAAAAUGGAGGAAGGUAUUGAUUGGCAAGUACAGCCGCCAUGUCCAGGCAACUCCAUCUCCUCCAGUCAUUCCACAAACAAGCUGCUGCAUUUCAAUACUUCCAUUGCCAACCUGGUCAUCCUGCGAGGAAAAGAUACACACAGUGUAGACUUAGGAAGUUUCCGAGAUCCCUCAUUAUAUACAUCAUGGCUAAAUCCUCAGGAUGCUUUUAAUGCGUGGAAAACCCCAAGAGCAUUUAAUAAGUAUGAGAAGUCUGCUUCUCUGGUUAGCAAUAGCCAGUUCCUGCUGAAACCUCUUGACAGUGUUGUAGGAAAAGCUUGGAAUAUGUUUGCUUCCAAGGCCUACCUUCACCAGUACACUAAGUUUGGAAUUGAAGAGGAAGAUUUUUUGGACAGUUUCACAGCUCUGGAACAAGUUAUCUCCAGUUACACCAACCUUUGAUUUUUGAAAUUGUUUCUUCCUGAAAGAACCCAGCACUGGAAGACCUUCCAUCAACUAUCAAAUAUAUAAAUUACUGGACUACAACUAUUAGUUAAUCUUGUGAGCAAGGCAUGCAUGUGUUAGAAUCAAACUGGAUGAGAACUGAGUCAGGAACAGAAGUGCUAAAAUCCAUCCAGGAACAGCUGUUCUCAAAGUAGCUCAGGAGCACGAGAUCUGGAAAGAUAAACAAAUCUGACAUGAUCCAAGUAACUGUACAACUGACUCUGGAGAAAGUACUGGGGUAAGUUCACAAUUGCUCAAAUACAGAAGCAGCAGCAGCUGAUCACUGUCAUGGAUGUAAUUUCAAUGCAUGCCACAGUGGAUUCUGAUACAUUUCAUGGGAGUUUAAAGACAAACAAUGUUAAUCUCUAGUGCCUUCAGAAAAAAAUAAAAAUAAAAAUAAAAAUUCAGGAGGGAAGACAAAGAAAACAAGUGGGGUAAAUACACUCAAGUGACUUUUCAUAUUAAAAGAUGCUUGAUGUGUAUGACAACACAUUUUGACACUAUUCUUCUUACAGACCAGAAUGCACCAUCCAACACUCAGCUCACUUUGCCUUCUCUUUUCACUCAGCUGCUUCAAUUCCUGUUUUAGCAAUUCCUUCUCAAAAGGAGGACACAAUAAUCAUGGUUCAAUUAUCCAGAUAUACUUCAUUUAAAACCACAUAUAGUUUUUAUAGACAAUUAUUUGUGAUUAUUUAAUAUUUUUUUCACUAAGUUACAUCCUGUCAGCUCAGAGAUAGGGGACUGUUACGAUCAAAAGGGAUUUUCUAGUGUUAUGUUUUUGUCAAUUGAAAUAUUAAGCUGGGUGGGUAUUCUCACACAAUAAACUGGAGGAAAGAUUGCACAAAACAUCAAGAGAACCAGCUCGGGCAGUUCAAGUUUGCAAAGAGCAAAGGGUUAGGAAAGCAAGCAAAACAGUGAGGUUCUCCUUCCCCCCUUCAAAACGCACAGGAUACUUAGCAAAAGUAGAAAUCAUUUUUCCUAGUGUUAGCUACAGAUACUGUUGUCAGACUAAGGAUUUCUUCGAGUGUCAGAAAUGAAAACAGGUAACUCCAUUUCUGACUGAGUCCCAGGGAUGGAUAUUCUUCCUCAUUGCGAUGCUGUGUUACAAAAGAGCUUUUAAACAGCUACAACAGGUUAAGUCCUCUCCGCAACAAGGAAGAGAGCUGUAGGCUAUUGUACUGCUACAUAAGUAACUUGCAGAAAUACCACUGCAUUAUGUCUGUGUAUUUACAAUUCCAAGCAUGAAGCAAAUGCAGCAGCACUUACUGCAGCCACAAUGACACAGAGCCAUUCACCCAUCCCUUACAGCUGCAUCUAUUCUUUAAUGGAGUAUGUCACUUUCAGUUAACAAAGGAGCAUAUUUGGGUUUUUGUUUGUUUAAUGGCUUAGCUAUGCCACAAAAUUCAUUGUUGCUUAACAAGAUGCCAAUCAAAUUUUGAAUUUUGACAACGCAGAUUUCUUGAAGCUACAGAAAUUGGAGGUAGAAACAGAACUGUAACUGUUGCAUUAGCUCUUACGAUCACCUCGAUUUCACUUGAGGUUGACAGGAAUUAUUUUUGGCUUCUCCAGGUCUCUUCCUGCCAGCGUUUUUUGCUGCUGACCUCAGUUUUGAGACUCACACCCUCUCCCAAACUAAGCCUUCAUCUGUGGCUGAAUUCCUCUAUUUUUUCCCCAGGAUGUGGAGAGCAGAGGGUCAAGUGGCAGGAAGUGAAUAACUAUUCUCAAGUAUACAUCAUCUCAAAUUAUACUAGAAGGUGGAGAAUUCUUUCUUUAUUAUUGUUUUAUGGAGAAAAUUAGUUGGGUAAACAAGAGCCUGAGCCUGGCAGAGGGCCGUUACUUCAUUAGCAGCUGAAAUGAGCAAGGUAGAUCAAAGGCCAUUCCCAAGGCAAUGGUGAACUGAGGGAUGGCAGCACCAGUGGCCCUGACCCCACUGCUUUUAGGCAAACUACCCACAGGAAAUUCAUGAACCAUGGAACAAUGCAUCAAAUCUCACUAUUGUUUGCUGUCAUAGACAGGUGCAAGUCCCCUGGAAGUUGAUUCAAGGACUAACUAUAGCAGAAAUACUGAGUGAACAGGAUAAGUUUAUUUGGUCACCAGAAAAAACAGGACCUAAGUUACAAGUACUUUAAAGACAGUGACUUUAAAGACAGUGACAAUGAUGCAAUUUAUUUGGACUUGUUUGUAAAGUAAGAAUUCAUAGAGGCAAAAAAAGGAUACGAACCAUAAAAAUGGACUUUUAGGGGACUUACCAGCAUGGAGUUAGCAACAGGAACAGUUCCAGAUUAAGGGCAAAAACCAGAAUUCUGCCAAUAUGGAAAAAGGAAGUUGUGUGCGAAUUAGCAGCUGGUACACAACUGGGAAAUGUUAGGGUAAAAAAGGUAUUGAAUGAUUCAUUCAUUUCCUUUGGCAUUUGUUAAUAAAUUCAGUAUAAGUGCUAUGAAAUGACAACCCAAACAUCCUAAAGGAAGUACUCUCGGAUGUCAAAGUGUACUUUAAGGAAGCCUGAGAUUUGCUGGACACAGCUUUAAAAGCUGAACAACAGCCACCAGGAACAUGAUUUGUGGAUAUGUUGUAUUACAAAAAGCUACAAAAAGAGCAGAGCUGCUGCCAUUUCUCUACUGCUUUCAAGGGCACCCCAGCCACACUUUUACCAGUGCAGCAAAUUCCAGUGUAAGCUUCUUCCUCAAGCCAGCAGCACGGCUUGGACACUCCGACAGCUUUUAAUGCGCCUGGAUGCAGAGCUGAUAAUCCCAAAUUUUAACUGCAGAGCCUUUCCGGCUCUUUCACUCAAACUGGAUGUUCACAAUGGCCCCUUCUGAGCACACAUUGUAUGAAUCCUCUCCCUCCAGACAGCCACUUCCCCUCUGUCCGGGUGGGUAAUGAGUCACCCACCUCUGUGAAUCAGCAGAACAAGCUUAACCCCUUCCCAGAAGCACCAACAGCUGCACAUCGGGUGGUGUUUCAAACAAAUGUUAUUGCCAAUGAUACAGAGCAAGCUGGAAAAGUCUGGAGAUGGCUAGAGGAAAGAGAUUAGCAAGGCCACAAGGUUUCAUGAGAUAGAAAAAUAAGAAAAAUGAGGACUUUCUCUUGGCCAAAACUCCUCUCAAUAUUUCCUGUUUCAGCUUCAGGAAGCAGUGAGCUCCCUUCACUAAUUAUAUAUGAUGAGAAACAAGUGCCAUCGUAAACAGUGUAUGUGCACUUAAAUGAGUGCGUUCUCCAGAAACAAUUAUUGUACCUACUUGGUUACGCAUAUGGUAUAAUGUUUAUUCAAAGGCUCACAUGAGUACAAUUCAGUUGCCUGAGAAUGGUGUAGCUGUGGUCAGAUGACAUGAUUCAGUUUGAGCCUUUGCCCAGCAAGCUCCUAUAUGUAACAGAUCAGUGACUGGAGCGCGUGAGCAGCACACCACCCAAGGAGCCAAAUGGAAAGCAGCCUCAUCCCACACACUGAAGGUGUAAUGAAACACUGACUCUGUAAUUCUUGGUUGGCAAGGGCAGCAGUAGAGUCAUUGUGGCAGCCUCAGUCAGAACAGUCAGAGCUGGGCAACAAUUCAGAGCUGCUACUCAGCUCCAAACAAUACCGGGUUCACUAUGAACUCCCAUAUAAAAGUGGAAUAGCUGUUUCUACCACUUGCAAAGAGUACACUGGGGUAUUUAUUUCCUCCUCACCCCACAUGGAGCAGCUCCUACAUGACUGAGUCACCAGGUCUGCAUGUAUACAUGCAGCUAUUUGAUGCCAUAAAUCAUGUCCCUCCCUGCGAGAACUUAACUCAGCUUUUCACAUCAUUUUCCUCUGUAAGACUGUCUCCAAACUCAGUAUUUUCACUGUGGAGAAUUAUAUAAAAAAAAUAGAUGUGAACCAAACGCGUACUGUGAUAAAGUAACUUAUUUUUCAUCAACAAAGGAAACCUGAAAUUGCACAUCCAUGUGGGAUCUCACUCAAACUGCAGAAAACUCCACUCAAGAAACAAACUCCAACUCGUACAGAGAGCACUGAGCAUGACAGGCAGUUGGGACUGCAGGAACUGAGCAAAGAGCCAUCAGCUCACCAGGAGUGAGCAUCAGUCUGCCAUCAACACCAGCACCUUCAUUACUCAAUCAGAAUGACCAACCCUCUGUUACAGCCAAAUCCUACUGCAAAAGGACAGCACGGAUUUCCAACUUAAAGACAUAUGGAGUUCACAAUCUCCUGGAUGUGAGAUAUCUUCCAGACAGGAGUGAUUCUCCAUUAUAGCAGAGAACAGUAAAAUGACACACACUACCAAUGCCGCGGGGAAACAAAAUGCUUAAACCACUUGGGGAGACAAAAUCAGACCUGUGGGGCUCCUCUGUCACAUGUAACUUUAAAAAAAAAAAAAUAGAUUAUGCCUUAAAUUGCUGGUAUUAAGGACAGAGGAUCACCCAAGCAGGAGAAACACAGAAGUCAUCAAUCUGUAUUUCUUACAUGGACUGAACAGCAGUUUCUGGGGCCAUCAGGAGGCAGGGGUGGAGUGGAGCAGUUAUCAGAGCAGGAACAAUGCACAGAGCUCACAAGUCCUAUCUUUUGCCUUUCACCAGGAAACAGCAGUUCAUUUCCUUAUUGCCAAUUGCCUGGGCAUCACAUUUCAGCUUCUUGGGAAACCAGAACAAUUAAGGGAGGAGCAACUCCCCCGAACCACGGGAGGUGCUGCACACUGACAUAUCCAUAUCUGAACAGCUUAAAUGAGGUUUAGAGAGAAGCGACCUUUGAUUUAAUGCUCAUGUAGUCAAUGCACAGAAUCAUUCCUUAAGUGAACAGUAAUAAAAACCCCUCCAGCAGAUUAAAGAGCAAUGUGAAAGGCAAACUAAAACAAAGACAGCCUGUUUAACAGGUUCACGAAUAUUUUUCAAACAACCGAACAUCACCAGCAGUGUAUAUGCAGAACAACUUCAGAGCCCAACAGGCUGAACCCAACACAGAGCUGCCUGCAGCAUUUUUGACCAAAAUAGCAUUGUGUUGAAUUCCUAGUGUGUGCCCAAAGCCCAUCACAGACUGCUGGGCCUUUCCUGUCUGCCUUUAGUUGGAAGGGCAGAUGGUUUUCCGGACAUUGAUAUCCAUUUCUACAUUUGAGCUCCUCUCACUGGCUCAGGUUGUGACAUCUCUCCUGCUCACACUGAGACCAAACAGCUGCCUCUUGGGAAUGCUGAGUACAUGCAGCCACCAAGUCAAACAGAGGAAGAAACGUGAGGCUGCAGAUCUGUCCUCAAUGACACGUGUGAACUUCAAAAGUCACAGCAGGAUCAGGAGGUUCCUGCAUAAUCUCUUUAAAAAUGAGUUUGCAAGGAGCAUAGGCAAAUAUCUACCCUCUAUCUUAUUCAGGAGGCAUUGGGGGUGUUCCACAGAGAGCGAUCACCAGACCCCUGCUUCCCCCUCGGUUGCACUCGGUGCUGCAGUCCCAUGACCCCAUUGGUAGGGGAAGCACUUACUGUUGGGAGUUUUUUUUCCUUCUCCUGCUCCAAGAAAUAAAAAACACAAACUUGCAAAAAAAACCAAAAAAACCCUCAGAACUCACAAUCCCAGAUGAGCCACCUCCAUUACCUCCAUGACUGCAAUCAACCUUACAACUGCUGAUGAUAAGUAUUUUUUAACCAUGUGUUUCAAAGACAACUGCCAUUAUUUUUACCUCUAGGACUACCCCCAGCCACCACUUAUUUUUACACCUGCAAUACGCUUUGUUCACUACCAGUCAUGUUUGUGCUUGAUAAGCAUGUAAUGAUCCACAGUAUUCUUGUUUGCAAUUAGUGCUGCUUGGAGUGAGGAGGAAGCUGGUUCUAAUGAAUUAAAUAAUGAAACCCCAAAACAAAGCAGAGAGGAACGCUGAGGAACAGCACUGAGCCCCUCAAGUAUCAGUGAUGGGUGUCUGUCAGCACAAGCAGCAGCAGGGAAAGCUCAGCUUGCAUUACUGGGAACCACUGGGAUGGAGGUAGGAACUGCAGAUGGAGCAGUUCCUGUUUGCUGUGAUGGAGCAAUGUGGGACUGGUGAUUCCAUUUAGCACAAAGCAGUGUGACCUUUUCAACUUAUCCAUCAGAUAAAGCAUAGUGAAGUAAUUGAGGCUGUUGCUCUUUGCAAACAGAGCUCACUUUGGGCCUUACCCACAUCAAAAUCCAUGACUGACUGCUUCCAGUGCACAACUGAAAGUAUUCCUGAUAAAACCAUUGGCUAAGGCAGCAAAACACAUCCAGAUGAGAUGUGAAAGGCUCUGGGCCUUUCUCUGUAGCCACAAAAUACACUGCGAACACAACUUAUCU